CUCACUCAGUCACGAAGGCGGAAGCUCAGAUUUUGUUUUAAAGCCGCAGAGGACGUUAAAAGUUUUUAAGCAGGAAAGAAACGUGAUCCGCUUUAUGGCUUGAGGACUACAAUGGCUGUAGUGUGGUCAGUGAGUAGGGAAGAAAUAAAAGCAAGAAGAGAUGAGAGUGUGGUUCAGUGGUAAAGCACUGAGCAAGAUGUGGACAGCCCGGACUCCGCCCCAGCACGCCUAGCCUCGCCUCCUCUGCUCGUGCCUCCUCACUGCGCAUGGCAGCGGUCAUUACAAUCAUCCUUUUAAAACACAGAUCCGCUCGUCCCCAGGGCAGACCUUGUGGUGGCCUCGGGAAAGCGAGUGUGAGAAGCCUCUUCCCGGAUUCCAGCGCUCCUUCGGCGUAAAGCGGGGAGUGGGCACGGCGCCCCGGCACACCUGCAGAUGGCUGCCCAGCGGUGGUUUUGUGCACAGAGUCUCGCUCUGUAACCAGGGCGGCUUGCAAUUCAAUGAUCUUCCUGCCUCUGCUUCCCAAGUGCCGCGACUGUGGGCCUGAUUCUUUGCUAGGAGCGAGCAACUUAAGCGAGAGAAAUCCGGUGGGACGGACAGACCCCUGUGAGGAGGAAGGGAUUACUGAGUGACAGAGGCAGCGAUGAAAAGCCGAUACCUGUCCCGAUGGUGCUGGGAUGGCAGGAGGAUCUCUGUACUCGGCGAUGGAAGCUGCACUCCUGAGGACAGAUUUGGGUCAUUGUCUUGGAGCACAUAACUACAGGUUUUCUCUGUAUGGCCCUGGCUAACCUGGAACUUGAUCUGUAGACCAGGCUGGUCUUGAACUCAUAGAGAUCUGCGCUCUUCUGUCUCCUGAGUGCUGGGAUUAAAGUCAUGUGCACCACCACCAACCUGCUAAAAUAAUUUUUUAAUUAAAAAAUUACUAGUUCUGCCUUUGAUAGAGAUUCCCAGAAUGUUUUUUGUUGGUGGUGGUGGUUUGUGUUUCAUUUUGUUUUUCUGUUUCAUUGGUUUUGUCCAGGGAAUUGAACCCAGAACCUCCUGAAUGCUAACUAUGAAUUGUAUCACUGAGCUACCUGCCUGGCCUUGCCUUAUUUUUACCUGAAAUAAUUCAUUCAUUGGAGAAUAUGUUUUUCUUCUUGCAAAGAAGAAAACCUCCAGGUGGCUUUAAAAGUUGCAAAAAUAAAUAGCAAGACAAACAAUAUUAGAAAGGUAAAGGAGAGGAAGCAUAGAGGUAGAAAAGGCUGAAGAACAAGGGCAUCUCACAAGCAUGCCAUGAAAUUCCAGACUCACUAAGGAAGGAAGAAAGAACUUUGCCAGCUCCUUGGCCACCAAUAAAAUGACCAGAAAGUGAUCAAUUACAACAAGAUGCUGUGUUCAAAGCAAGAACAGCCUGGUUACUUGAGGAAAAUCAUCACCCUUCCUGGAUUUCUUACAGAGAGCAAAGCUUAGGAACAAAGUCAUUGUCAACAAUAUAUCUCUUACGGUAUAGUAGGAGAGAAACUUAAAGGAACACUUCUUCCUGUGCCCAUAAUAAAACUUGAAAGUGCUAUAGCCAGGGCUAGAGAUGGCUCAGUGGUUAAAGAGCACUGUCUGCUCUUCCAAAGGACCAGAGUUCAGAAGCAGUCCCCACAUGGCGGCUCACAGCUGUCUGUAACUCCAGUUUCAGGUGGCCCUUACACCAAUGCACAUAAAAUAAAAUUAAAUAAAUUAUAAAAAA